rfam:Triticum aestivum genome assembly, contig: Triticum_aestivum_CS42_TGACv1_scaffold_249719_3DL
CAUAUACUCCCUCCGUCCGAAAAAGCUUGUCCCUCAAAUGGAUGUAUCUAGCACCAAGUUAGUGCUAAAUACAUCCAUUUGAAAGACAAGCUUUUUCGGAAGUGGGGAGUAUAAA